UUACGGCCAUAUCACGAUGAAACAUCGGUUCCGCUACGAUCACCGAAGUUAAGCAACGCCGGACCAAAUCAGUAUCUAAAUGGGUGACCGUUUGGGAAUACCAAGUGCUGUAAG